GCUGCAGCCAUUUAUCUCUGCCCUUCUUUUUUCUGCGCCAUAGCCAUUACAACAAUGUUCCCCUCCAACACAAUCUCUCUAAGCCACCAAGUCCAAACCUUCCAAGAAUUACAUUCUCACACGCACGUUUCUUUAUCUAUUCACUCUAUCCUCAAUGGCCCAGUAGUACUAGAAUUUAUGCCUAAAAAUAUAUAUAUAAGAAAACUUGUAAACAAAGAAGGAAUUAGGAUGGGAAGAUACUGGAGGUGGAGAUACAAAACUUGUCUCCUAUUCACCUCCAACCACACAAGCCGCUUACCCCCAUUGUCUUCUAUAUGCAAUUUUAUUUCAUGCCCACAAAAUUUUUUUCCUAUCACUUAAUAAUUUGAGUUUACGAGUGUUAAAAAGUCUGAGAUUUUUAGACUUUUUUGACCUAGGACUUGUGGUUUUCUAGGAAUUUUUUUGGGUUUCUUGGUUCGUGUGUGAAAGUUCGAAGAUUUUUUUUUUUUUUUUACCUGGCCUUUUUGUGUUUUUGUGGGAUUUUAGUUGUGGGCAUUAGAAUUUGAACUAGACGAUGAAAAGGGUUUCUUCGGAUUUUCAUCAAUUCCAUACUGUUAAUGAUGAAGCCAAAGCAAAGCUCAAAUAUCAAACACUGGCGAAUGAAUUUUUGGAAUUGCAAAAGGAAUUUUUUUCGAAGAAGAGGAAAUUGAAGGCUGCAAAGCAUAAAAGAGAUACAUUUUUUGCUGAAGUUAGAUUUUUGAGGCGAAGACAAAAAUAUUUGUAUAGAAUAAAACAUUCAAAUAAGGGGAAAGAUCUUCUCCGUUUGCCAAAUUCAGAUGAAGAAAUCAAUGUCGCUGAAGAGGAAAGAAAUCUUAGCUUCCUAUGAAGCCGCACCUGGAAAGUCAGACUCGGUUCUGGUCUCAAGAAAACUGAGGAGGUUGGAGGACAAGACCAGGUUCUUGAGAAGGAACAAAGAUUUGCCAAUAGGCUGAAGAAUGGCUUAAUUCACGAUAAAGCAGUCGACGAGAGGAAGAUCUCACGGUAUGAUCUGUUCACUCUUCAGGUCUAAUGUCCGCAUAUUUUUCCAGAUAAAGAACUUAGUAGUGUUUACUUGCCAGAAGUAGUUAAUUGUUGGUCUCCAUUUUUCUUUAAAUUUCUGAUCCAACAAAAUUUUUUAUACCAACGUUCUCUAAAUUUAAUAAAAUCUUGAUAAUCAAAAUUUAGCUCAUU